UAGGGAAUCUUCGGCAAUGGACGAAAGUCUGACCGAGCAACGCCGCGUGAGUGAAGAAGGUUUUCGGAUCGUAAAACUCUGUUGUUAGAGAAGAACAAGGACGUUAGUAACUGAACGUCACCUGACGGUAUCUAACCAGAAAGCCACGGCUAACUACGUGCCAGCAGCCGCGGUAAUACGUAGGUGGCAAGCGUUGUCCGGAUUUAUUGGGCGUAAAGCGAGCGCAGGCGGUUUCUUAAGUCUGAUGUGAAAGCCCCCGGCUCAACCAGGGAGGGUCAAUGGAAACUGGGAGACUUGAGUACAGGAGAGGGGAGUGGAAUUCCAUGUGGAGCAGUGAAAUGCGUAGAUAUAGGGAAGAACACCAGUGGCGAAGGCGGCUCUCUGGUCUGUAACUGACGCUGAGGCUCGAAAGCGUGGGGAGCAAACAA
rnacentral:rRNA from 1 species